rnacentral:rRNA from 1 species
GACGAACGCUGGCGGCGUGCUUAACACAUGCAAGUCGAGCGGUAAGGCCCUUUCGGGGGUACACGAGCGGCGAACGGGUGAGUAACACGUGGGUGACCUGCCCUCAGCUCUGGGAUAAGCCUGGGAAACCGGGUCUAAUACUGGAUAUGACUCCAUGACGCAUGUUGUGGGGUGGAAAGCCUUGUGCGGCUGAGGAUGGGCCCGCGGCCUAUCAGCUUGUUGGUGGGGUGANGGCCUACCAAGGCGACGACGGGUAGCCGGCCUGAGAGGGCGACCGGCCACACUGGGACUGAGACACGGCCCAGACUCCUACGGGAGGCAGCAGGUGGGGAAUCUUGCGCAAUGGGCGAAAGCCUGACGCAGCGACGCCGCGUGAGGGA